rnacentral:rRNA from 1 species
AUUUAUCCCACUGAGCACAUGUGGAAGACCCUGGGUUCGAACUGGAAUUAGUUUUUCCUGUUGGGACUGCUGUGCUUGAAAAGUCGGCUUUGCCUUGCAUCUCCAGGUCUAUGUUUUCAUAUAAACCUCUCUGUUUGGAAUGUUCCUAUAAUAAAAGUUAUAUACAACUUUCAGCAACGGAUCUCUUGGCUCUCGCAUCAAUGAAGAACGCAGCGAAAUGCGAUAAGUAAUGUGAAUUGCAGAAUUCAUUGAAUCAUCGAAUCUUUGAACGCAUCUUGCGCUCCUUGGUAUUCCGAGGAGCAUGCCUGUUUGAGUGUCAUUCAAAACUUCUCAACCACAUUGAAUGAAUGUGGCUUGGAUUGUGGGGGUCUUUUUUGCAGGCUUUCUCAAGAAGGUCGGCUCCCCUGAAAUGCAUUAGUGGUAUCUGUGCUACUAUGGUGUGAUAAAUUAUCUAUGCCUUUGGUAUGCUGCAUGAACUGCUUCUAAUUUAUAUUAUGAAUUUGACCUCAAAUCAGGUAGGACUACCCGCUGAACUUAAGCAUAUCAAUAAGCGGAGGAA